UCCAGCAGGCUUUUGAUGCUAAUAUUUUGAUACAUUCAUCAUUGCUUUAGCAUCUGCAGCAAGCAAUAUUUAUGCUGUCUCUAUAAGCUAGAGUGGAAGCAAGAGCUCCUAUUUACUCCCAUUGAGGGUGCUGGGCAACCUGCUCUGUACUGUCAAUCAGUGAAGACUCACUUGGCUGCACUCUGGUGUUUGUUAUCUCCACCCCAGAUAAGGAGACAUGAAGAAUGCAUUUUUAAUGGUGAUGAUUUCAGUUACCACUGGCAAGUUAGUGGAGGAGAUGUUUGGAGGCUAAUAGAUCUUUUGUCUACGUCUGAUCUUUGAAAUCACAUUGUUUAUGUGAUCCUUUCCCAUCUACAAUGGCAUGUGUAGGUAUCGUCCACGUUGGGAUUCAUCCAAGAUGAAUCUGCUUCUUCAUCUCCUUGCAGAACAAUACCCAUGCAACCUAAAUCAAUUUCAAUUUGCUGGCCCACCAGAAAUAAGGCAUUCAUCAAGGUGAGGAGUGAUAGGCGAGGCGGCAUGGGCCUUGCUGAAUUUUCUUGAAAUUUCAUGUUAUCAUCCUUUAAAGUUGCCGGGACACUGGGUUACAAGGAGCUCUUUUCUGUUUUGCACUGAUCCUGUUGUCUGGUUAAGCUCGAAGGCCUGUUUUAUUCUGUGAAUUUCCCGCACCAGUGAUUU